UGAUUUACAAAUGGCGAUCUAUCCGUCCACGCUGGUCAAGUCCCACAGGAGAGCCGGAUGAUGUGGAUCAUCAGAAUUCGAACAUAGUCUGA